UACGUAGGGUGCAAGCGUUGUCCGGAAUUAUUGGGCGUAAAGAGCUCGUAGGUGGUCUGUUACGUCUGCUGUGAAAACCUAGGGCUUAACCCUGGGCCUGCAGUGGAUACGGGCAGACUAGAGGUAGGUAGGGGAGAAUGGAAUUCCCGGUGUAGCGGUGAAAUGCGCAGAUAUCAGGAGGAACACCGGUGGCGAAGGCGGGUCUCUGGGCCGAUACUGACGUGAGGAGCGAAAGCGUGGGGAGCGAACAGG
rnacentral:rRNA from 1 species